CGCGAGGCCAUUCCUACGUCAUGUGAGCGCCAUUUUCAUCAUUUUACCGUUAUUUCCUCAGGCACACUUCAACAUUUUCUUCGCAUUUAACAUCAUUAUUAGCAUGUAAAUAAUAUAAUUCGUAAACAUAACGUUUAUGUUCAUUUAUAAUAUGUUUUUUUUUUUGUAAUUGUUGGCUUUAAGUUAAUUUGUCUGUCAGUUUGUUCGUGUUGUUUUCUACAGUAGUCUGUUAACAGUAGACCAAAGGUAUGAUGAUCAAUUUUAAAUGCAAUAUGGUUGAAAGGUCAGUAAACAAACAACAAAAAGGUAAUUUCUUAAUAGAAUGUCUGUACAUUUUUUGCUUUUGUUACAUAUUUCAUACAUCAAAAUCCUUAAACGUUAAUAAUUAUGUAUUCCAACUUGUUGCAGCUUGACAAAAAUGUAGCUUGAAGGAGAAGGGACAGCUGAGAAACAAAGUCCUGGUACGCAGACGACGAUACUAUUACACUGACAAGAGUGUAAUGAUGAUGGAGACACAAGCCAGAGAAAGGGUGGACCAAACACCAGGCCAGAAUUCUGCACGAGUCAGCUCCAGUGGGUGCAGAUUAUCAUACAGAUGGUUAAAGUGUGGAUCCACCUAAUAUUCAAGAUUUUCUGUCCUGGGACCCUCGGCUAACCAUCAAGAAAGAACACACUCCAGUGGGCAUCCUUUAUCCAUCCAGACCCUCAUACAGAUGGUUGGAGUUUUGAUUCACCUAAAGUACCAUGCAAGAGCACUCUUUUUCACUCUUGAGACCAUGGUGUGACCUGCAAGGUCGAACGGAGACUGUAAACAAGACAAUAUUGGAGUCACCUGCAUUCACUGGUCCAGUUGUUAGCCCAAUUACAGAUGGAGAGUAUAGAAGAGGAUGAUGUCUUUUCUCCAACAUCUUUCUAGACUGAUAAAAGAUCUAGACAGGCUCGAACAAAAGUUAACAGAGGGGCUUAUAUAGAGAAUGGUAAGAACCUAUCCGUCAAACUUUUCACCAAUUAUUGUAAACAUAAACAAUAUUAUAGGGCUUAAUUUGUUUUAAACAUUACUUCAAUGUACUGUAUCUGUUUAAGGUGAGCAGCUACACAUAAAAGAAGAACAUGGAGAAUCUGCUCAAAGGUGUUAACCAGCAAUGCAGCUAUACAACUAAAUUGAUGCAGGCAACACAAGCGAGAAUGCAGCUGCAGAUGAAGAAUCCGUCCGUCUACCACUGAAGGAGACACAGAAAAUCCAUCCAAUAUGUUCUUUGCCCGAGGAAGCAUUUGAUUAUUUUAAAGAUGUUGUGUUUCUUUGUAUGUUAGAGAAAAACGUUGCUUUUUUGCAUAAGAUCGUGUAAAUAUGCAUGUUUUCCUUUGUCUAAUUUUAAUAAAUUUUACGCAAUCAA